rnacentral:rRNA from 1 species
AUUGAACGCUGGCGGCAGGCCUAACACAUGCAAGUCGAGCGAGCGGCGGACGGGUGAGUAAUGUCUGGGAAACUGCUUGAUGGAGGGGGAUAACUACUGGAAACGGUAGCUAAUACCGCAUACCAUCAGAUGUGCCCAGCUGGGAUUAGCUAGUAGGUGGGGUAACGGCUCACCUAGGCGACGAUCCCUAGCUGGUCUGAGAGGAUGACCAGCCACACUGGAACUGAGACACGGUCCAGACGCCGACGGGAGGCAGCAUUGGGGAAUAUUGCACGAUGGGCGCAAGCCUGAUGCAGCCAGUCAGAAUGAGUUAAAAAGGCCUCCGGGUUGUAAAGCACUUUCAGCGGAACGGCGUUACCCGCAGGAGAAGCACCAGCUGACUCCGGGCCAGCAGCCGCGGUAAUUC